AUUUAGCCCAGAUUGCAAUGGAAAGCCUCGCAGAAGGAUACACUAUUUUUUGUAGAAGUGACACAGCAACCGAAGGAAGCUCGUGGCGGUUAUAACAAAAAAGUGUUUCCUUUAAGAGUUUGUAAUGGAAAGCUGGAUUAGCU
rnacentral:sRNA from 1 species